UACGGAAGGUCCGGGCGUUAUCCGGAUUUAUUGGGUUUAAAGGGAGCGCAGGCGGGCAUUUAAGCGUGACGUGAAAUGUGGCGGCUCAACCGCCGAACUGCGUCGCGAACUGGGUGCCUUGAGUGAGUGCGACGUCAGCGGAAUUCGUGGUGUAGCGGUGAAAUGCUUAGAUAUCACGAAGAACCCCGAUUGCGGAGGCAGCUGACGAGUCCUUUACUGACGCUAAAGCUCGAAAGUGCGGGUAU
rnacentral:rRNA from 1 species